rnacentral:rRNA from 1 species
GAUGAACGCUGGCGGCGUGCCUAAUACAUGCAAGUCGAGCGAACAGACGAGGAGCUUGCUCCUCUGACGUUAGCGGCGGACGGGUGAGUAACACGUGGAUAACCUACCUAUAAGACUGGGAUAACUUCGGGAAACCGGAGCUAAUACCGGAUAAUAUAUUGAACCGCAUGGUUCAAUAGUGAAAGACGGUUUUGCUGUCACUUAUAGAUGGAUCCGCGCCGCAUUAGCUAGUUGGUAAGGUAACGGCUUACCAAGGCGACGAUGCGUAGCCGACCUGAGAGGGUGAUCGGCCACCCUGGAACUGAGACACGGUCCAGACUCCUACGGGAGGCAGCAGUAGGGAAUCUUCCGCAAUGGGCGAAAGCCUGACGGGGCAACGCCGCGUGGGUGAUGAAAGUCUUCGGAUCGUAAGACUCUGUUAUUAGGGAAGAACAAAUGUGUAAGUAACUAUGCACGUCUUGACGGUACCUAAUCAGAAAGCCACGGCUAACUACGUG